UUUUUACUGGGUGCUGGGUUAUUUUUUUAAUCCAAAUGCUGGGUUCAGCCCGUUGGGUCAUUUUAUUGGGUUAUUUUUAAUAUCUUUACCCAGGUGCUGGGUUAUUCUUUAACCCAAAUGCUGGGUUCAGCCCGCUGGGUCAUUUUAUUGGGAUAUUUUUACUGGGUGCUGGGUUAUUUUUUUAAUCCAAAUGCUGGGUUCAGCCCGUUGGGUCAUUUUAUUGGGUUAUUUUUAAUAUCUUUACCCAGGUGCUGGGUUAUUCUUUAACCCAAAUGCUGGGUUCAGCCCGUUGGGUCAUUUUAUUGGGUUAUUUUUACUGGGUGCUGGGUUAUUUUUUAAUCCAA